UAAAACUAGAUUCUGGCAGCUAAUACAACUUUGUACUACAAGUGCCUUGCAUAUUUAUCUGCAUGAGCUCAAACUUGGUACUCAUGUAGUCCUUGCGUAGCUAGGGCUACUAGACAAGUUUUCAACUCAAGCUCCCCCAGUAAAAACCCUUUUGCUAGGCCCCAAGUUUGUUGUUGCAAACUUAGCCCUUGCUCAAAACCCACCUACACUGCCCCAUAUGAGACCAAAAUCCAAACUUAGCUCUGCCCCUUCCACUUGUCCUGUAGCUCACCAUAGGUUGUGGAAAGUUGCACACGCGCACCAGAGAGCCUCCCUCAACCUCCCAUGCCCCUCCCCGACACCAGGAUGCAGCCAAGGGAGCCCAGGCACGCAUGUUCUUGGCUCCAAAGCGCACCCGAGGCCUCCCGGGCUCCCUUUGCUCUCCCCGACCAUAUAAGGCCCCCUCGCCCCCUGGUCUCCCCUUGGCUCUCCCUCUCUCCCGUGAACCUACUGGACCAACCCCCUCUCUCUUCUGUGCCCAAAAAUCACCCCAUGGCUGAAGACCCAUCGGCGGCCUUCGCUCGAGCUCACGCAUCCCCGAGCUCUCCCUCGCCCUAGCACCCCCUACGAUCCAUCCUAGUCGCCGCCGAGCUGCCCCCGUGACCCAAUCCCUCUCCUCCGUGGCCAGGGCGUCACGCUCAUCGCCACGGUCGGCCACCUCCGCCGCAACCGACGCCACGGUCGGUCGAUGCCUUCUCCGGGGCCAAGAUCCACCCAGCAGGGUGCGACUCUAUCCCUUGAACUCACCGGUGGCCGAACCACCGGAAACGGCGGCCGGUAGCAUCGGCAACCCUCAUCGGGACUCCCGUGUCUCCGUCGGCGAAAGGAAGAAGAUGAACUCGCCAGGCGGUCCCCUUUUAUCAAUGGCACGCCGGUCAGGCCCGUUCGGGAUAAGUGGAGAUGCCCUCACGUGGAGCCGCCUUUCGCAAGUGAAGGCGCAAUCCGUAGAAAGAGCCUCUUGCAUGGCCCCUUGCUCGCUUGACCGAUGCAGCUGGCCGGCCCAGUGGCUGCGGCGCUAAGUUGGCGAAGUAGAUGAUGUGAUCGGAGGUGGACGAGAAGCGUGAGAAGACCUCAAAGACUUUGCUGAAGCAGGCAAGCAGCCCUUUGACCAUGUCUAAGAAACUACUUUUAUGCAUGUCAUAUAGCACUUCGUUCCGAUGCAUUUAAUCAUGUUGAAUCGGUGACCACUUUGGUGGGUUGUCUUCGAAAAAAUCCUCGUUGAUACU